rnacentral:rRNA from 1 species
ACAAUGCGGAACUUUUAGUUUUGCAAUUGGAUUGAGAACAAUGUACAAAUGUUAUCGAUAAACAAUUGGAGGGCAAGUCUGGUGCCAGCAGCCGCGGUAAUUCCAGCUCCAAUAGCGUAUAUUAACGUUGUUGCAGUUAAAAAGCUCGUAGUUGAAAUGUGGGAUGAAGUAUAUAAUGAAUUUCUAAUUCAAUUAUAUAUUGAUUCCCCUCUCCAAUUUAUUAUUAUGGGUAUUAAUUUAUUUGUAAUAAGAAUUGGUCAUUUACUGUGAGAAAAUUAGAGUGUUCAAAGCAGGCAUUUGCUUGAAUAGAUUAGCAUGGAAUAAUACUAAAAGGCUUUUAUGGUCGAUUUAAUUGGUUUGUUCAUAAAAGCAAGAUUAAAAGGAACAGUUGGGGGUAUUCAUAUUCAAUAGUUAGAGGUGAAAUUCUCGGAUUUAUGGAAGAUGAACAAGUGCGAAAGCA